CAGUAAAUAUCAAUCACUUCAGAUAUUUUCAAGUAUUUAAUUCAAACUUUCUGCAUACAUAGCAUCAUGUCUCACACAUGGUAGUCACCCAAUAAAAUAUGUUGCAUGAACAAAUGAAUAUGCAUAGUUUCCAAGGAGAUCAGAUUCCCUGACAUUUAUUACCACUGAAUUAUCUGUGCACAAAGAACGUCAACUUUAUAAACAUUGCCUUUCAUCAAAUUAAAGAUAAUCACCUGAAAUGAAGUCUGUAGUGAGAUAAUCACUUGUAUUUUUACUUAAUGAAACAAAACGGAUGGAUGUUUAGCUAAAAUAUAAAGGUUUGGAAAAACUGUGAUUAAGAAAAUAUCACGGCAAAAUUAUUCCAUAAUGAAAUCUUUGCUCCAAUUGAGGUUUAUACAAACGGGAAAAAAGGCAUAGUUAGAAUUCCAUUAUGUUGUUUGUGAGGCAAAAUAUUAGUUAAUUAAACACAGUUACCAAGCACUGCUUAAAUUCUAAAAUAGACUGUUUCCACCAAAAAUGGUUUGUCAUUCAUGAGCAAAAUACAUCUAGCAAGAACCACUGCAUCAGCAGCUAAUCAUUUCAAGUGUCUUAACAUUUUUCCAUUGCAACUCGAGCUUUUCAUGGCAAAUUUCUAAACAGGAUUAAUUUUUGAUGAAUGUUUGACAUUUUCUUUUCCCACUAAGAUAUUUGUUUAGUUCAGGUUGUGAAAAUCAUUGCAUGUGCCUUAUGCCUCUUGAUACAUUUAUUUUUUCCCAAUUGCUAUCAAUUUAACUUUGGAGAUAAGAUCUAAACCAAGUUCGUAAAGUCCUAAGUGUCAAUUUUAUUUUUCCUUUCUAAAACAUUGUGAAAGUUAGAGAUUUAUUUAGGAAAAAUUAGAUGUUCCUCACUUCACUUACUAGUAUAUAGGGAGAAAGAUUGCAUAAACUUUGUCCUUUGAAUGGCAUGCUCCUCGUGUUUAGCCUCCUAGCAGAGGGGUAAACAUUCAGGAACCAGAAGCAAUUCUUGCCUUAUCUGGCUUCCAUACUUGGAAGGCUUUUCAUAAAAGGGUCUCCUUUUCUCCAGCAGUCAUACAAUAUGCACAGGCAAAGCUCUGCCAAUUUGGGUGUAGGAAAGAACAUCAAGUGCAAGCAGGCUAUGUAGGGUCUUUUUGCACCAAGAGAAAAGAUAAUUCAUUCCCCACUUUUUAAGGCACAGAAACUUAAUAGCGCCUUCCAUUCUCUUCUCUAGCUCCCUUCUCUUUUUCUGCACCUAUUAUGUGCAGGCCCUGGGUGAGGUCUUAGAGAUGCAGUGUUAGUUUUAAAAAGGCCCUGCCCCUAAGAAUCAUUUAAUUCAGGUGGGGUGGGGAGUGGGGAGAUGGAAACUCUCCCCAUUUAGUGUAGCUCAUAUUCAACUUAUGAUGAGGUUCUUGCA